GAGGAUCUGGUGGAAUUGCUAUGUUACAUGGAAACGGAAGCGGAUACGUGGAAGCGGAAGCUUAUGGAAGCGCGGAAGCGAGAUUUUAAAAAAAGUUAAGAAGCGGGUACGUGUUGGAAGCGUAUACAUAUAUAAAAUUUUUUUUAAAAUCUAGAACUAAAAAUUACAUGUUUAAAAUUUAAAAUAAAGCAUCUAUUCAUUUAUAAUAGUUUCC
rnacentral:lncRNA from 1 species